GAUACAGGUGGUGCAUGGUUGUGGUCAGCUCGUGUCGUGAGAUGUUGGGUUAAGUCCCGCAACGAGCGCAACCCUUAUUAUUAGUUGCCAGCAUUAAGUUGGGCACUCUAGGGAGACUGCCGGUGACAAACCGGAGGAAGGUGGGGAUGACGUCAAAUCAUCAUGCCCCUUAUGACCUGGGCUACACACGUGCUACAAUGGAAGGUACAGCGAGUUGCGAACUCGCGAGGGUAAGCUAAUCUCUUAAAGCCAUUUUUAGUUUAGAGCGUAGGACGCAACUCUACUAUAUGACCUCGUAC
rnacentral:rRNA from 1 species